AACGAACGCUGGCGGCAUGCCUAACACAUGCAAGUCGAACGAGAUCUUCGGGUCUAGUGGCGCACGGGUGCGUAACGCGUGGGAAUCUGCCCUUUGGUUCGGAAUAACAGUUGGAAACGACUGCUAAUACCGGAUGAUGACGAAAGUCCAAAGAUUUAUCGCCAGAGGAUGAGCCCGCGUAGGAUUAGCUAGUUGGUGUGGUAAAGGCGCACCAAGGCGACGAUCCUUAGCUGGUCUGAGAGGAUGAUCAGCCACACUGGGACUGAGACACGGCCCAGACUCCUACGGGAGGCAGCAGUGGGGAAUAUUGGACAAUGGGCGAAAGCCUGAUCCAGCAAUGCCGCGUGAGUGAUGAAGGCCUUAGGGUUGUAAAGCUCUUUUACCCGGGGUGAUAAUGACAGUACCGGGAGAAUAAGCUCCGGCUAACUCCGUGCCAGCCGCCGCAGUAACAC
rnacentral:rRNA from 1 species